AUUGAACGCUGGCGGCAGGCCUAACACAUGCAAGUCGAACGGUAACAGGAAGCAGCUUGCUUCUUUGCUGACGAGUGGCGGACGGGUGAGUAAUGUCUGGGCAACUGCCUGAUGGAGGGGGAUAACUACUGGAAACGGUAGCUACUACCGCAUAACGUCGCAAGACCAAAGAGGGGGACAUUCGGGCCUCUUGCCAUCGGCUGUGCCCAGAUGGGAUUAGCUAGUAGGUGGGGUAACGGCUCACCUAGGCGACGAUCCCUAGCUGGUCUGAGAGGAUGACCAGCCACACUGGAACUGAGACACGGUCCAGACUCCUACGGGAGGCAGCAGUGGGGAAUAUUGCACAAUGGGCGCAAGCCUGAUGCAGCCAUGCCGCGUGCAUGAAGAAGGCCUUCGGGUUGUAAAGUACUUUCAGCGGGGAGGAAGGGAGUAAAGUUAAUACCUUGACUCAUUGACGUUACCCGCAGAAGAAGCACCGGCUAACUCCGUG
rnacentral:rRNA from 1 species